AAUGGAGGAAACUCUGAUGCAGCGAUGCCGCGUGAGUGAAGAAGGCCCUUGGGUUGUAAAGCUCUUUCGUCGGGGAAGAAAAUGACUGUACCCGAAUAAGAAGGUCCGGCUAACUUCGUGCCAGCAGCCGCGGUAAUACGAAGGGACCUAGCGUAGUUCGGAAUUACUGGGCUUAAAGAGUUCGUAGGUGGUUGAAAAAGUUGGUGGUGAAAUCCCAGAGCUUAACUCUGGAACUGCCAUCAAAACUUUUCAGCUAGAGUAUGAUAGAGGAAAGCAGAAUUUCUAGUGUAGAGGUGAAAUUCGUAAAUAUUAGAAAGAAUACCAAUUGCGAAGGCAGCUUUCUGGAUCAUUACUGACACUGAGGAACGAAAGCAUGGGUAGCGAAGAGGAUU
rnacentral:rRNA from 1 species